AUAAUGAUACUCCCGCCCAGCCACAGCCUUUGCUUAACGGCUUUCACGCAAUGGGGGCGGCGGCAUGAGAACCAUGCCGGGGUGAAAUUCCCGUGA
rnacentral:ncRNA from 1 species